rnacentral:rRNA from 1 species
GAUGAACGCUGGCGGCGUGCCUAAUACAUGCAAGUCGAGCGAACGGACGAGAAGCUUGCUUUUCUGAUGUUAGCGGCGGACGGGUGAGUAACACGUGGAUAACCUACCUAUAAGACUGGGAUAACUUCGGGAAACCGGAGCUAAUACCGGAUAAUAUUUUGAACCGCAUGGUUCAAAAGUGAAAGACGGUCUUGCUGUCACUUAUAGAUGGAUCCGCGCUGCAUUAGCUAGUUGGUAAGGUAACGGCUUACCAAGGCAACGAUGCAUAGCCGACCUGAGAGGGUGAUCGGCCACACUGGAACUGAGACCCGGUCCAGACUCCUACGGGAGGCAGCAGUAGGGAAUCUUCCGCAAUGGGCGAAAGCCUGACGGAGCAACGCCGCGUGAGUGAUGAAGGUCUUCGGAUCGUAAAACUCUGUUAUUAGGGAAGAACAUAUGUGUAAGUAACUGUGCACAUCUUGACGGUACCUAAUCAGAAAGCCACGGCUAACUACGUG